rnacentral:rRNA from 1 species
AUGGAGGGAGUAUAUGAGACGUCGGUCACUACACCUUACAUCUUCAACAUGGUCGUGGAUCUGUUAUACAACCACCCCUUGAGUUAUAGAAUACCUAUUCUACAACCACCAUCCUGUGAAAAUAGCCUGACCCCUGAACCUCCACUGCCCACCGCACCAUCCUCCUGCGCCACCCCUUUGCUUCCUCCCGUGUGCCGCCGAUCUACUACUGUACCACUCUUCCCAAUCCUCUCGCAUGCUGCUGGUACACUUCCUCGCCGCCCUUCUCCAUCCACCCGUGCUCACCUCCUUGCUGCCGCACCGCCCCUCCCCUUUCUUGGUGCCCCCGCCAGCCUCCCCCCCGCGCCGCCCUGGCUCCCGUUGCCACACCACUUCCCCAAUCGCCCCUCCCCUGCUCGCAACCCUGCAGUCUGGUCGCUGUCCUGA